UACGAAGGGGGCUAGCGUUGCUCGGAAUCACUGGGCGUAAAGCGCACGUAGGCGGGUCUCUAAGUCAGGGGUGAAAUCCUGGAGCUCAACUCCAGAACUGCCUUUGAUACUGGGGAUCUCGAGUCCGGGAGAGGUGAGUGGAACUCCGAGUGUAGAGGUGAAAUUCGUAGAUAUUCGGAAGAACACCAGUGGCGAAGGCGGCUCACUGGCCCGGUACUGACGCUGAGGUGCGAAAGCGUGGGGAGCUAACAGG
rnacentral:rRNA from 1 species